rnacentral:rRNA from 1 species
GAAGUUUUCGGAUGGAUUUCAAGAUACCGAGUGGCGGACGGGUGAGUAACGCGUGGGUAACCUGCCUCAUACAGGGGGAUAACGGUUAGAAAUGACUGCUAAUACCGCAUAAGCGCACAGUACCGCAUGGUACAGUGUGAAAAACUCCGGUGGUAUGAGAUGGACCCGCGUCUGAUUAGCUAGUUGGUGGGGCAACGGCCCACCAAGGCGACGAUCAGUAGCCGACCUGAGAGGGUGACCGGCCACAUUGGGACUGAGACACGGCCCAGACUCCUACGGGAGGCAGCAGUGGGGGAUAUUGCACAAUGGAGGAAACUCUGAUGCAGCGACGCCGCGUGAGUGAAGAAGUAUUUCGGUAUGUAAAGCUCUAUCAGCAGGGAAGAAAAUGACGGUACCUGACUAAGAAGCCCCGGCUAACUACGUGCCAGCAGCCGCGGUAAUACGUAGGGGGCAAGCGUUAUCCGGAUUUACUGGGUGUAAAGGGAGCGUAGACGGCGACGCAAGUCUGAAGUGAAAUACCCGGGCUCAACCUGGGAACUGCUUUGGAAACUGUGUUGCUAGAGUGCUGGAGAGGUAAGCGGAAUUCCUAGUGUAGCGGUGAAAUGCGUAGAUAUUAGGAAGAACACCAGUGGCGAAGGCGG